GGAGGGGCAGGACCAGCUCUGCCUCUGAUGGGAGCCCCAACUGCUGAACUUCUGGAAGUCUUUAUUGACACCACUCAGCGUGUGGAGCCUGACCCACCUCAAAGCAUGCCAGGAAACACUCAUUAUUCACUCAAGAGAGAUAGAGGCAUCCACGUGCAAAACAGCCCAGAGAAGUUUUCAUGGACUGGGGCUGAAACACCAACGUGUUCCUGAGGCACCUCCAGAGAUCCCUGCAGAGCUGCAGAGAUGCUGUGGGAGCUCAUCCAGCCAACCAGCCAGACGUCCACGGGAGAAAGAUGAGAAAGAAGCCAGUGUUUGAUCCUUCAAGUGGAUAAAAUGGCACUUCCUGCACCAAGAAUGUCAGAGAAAAAGCAACAGCCCAUAAGACAAAAGCCAGGCUGAAGGAUGGGGAGAACAACAAAAUCUAAUCUGUCUUUGGUCAGUAAACAAACCUAGAGAGAAUAGGUUUGCAGUGUGUUGACAAUGUUCUGGCAGUUCAUUAAUCCCAGCAAAAUCUCUCCAAAGCUACUGAUGCAUGGAUUCCAUUUUCAAAUUUCUCAUUAGUUCCUCUUUAUGGAUUAAAUGCUGAUGUUCACGAGUGAAUGCACACAGCUUCAGCUGAUGGAUGUAAUUGGGUUGUAAUGGAUUUUAGCUGCUGUUCCCUCUGAUCCAGCCAAUUUGAAAGGCAGUAUCAAUGUGUUCUCCCCAGCUCUCUGUAGGGAAUGAGAAAUUGAAACCUACAAGAUGGAAUUUAUCAACUUCCAUAAAGUUCUCUCCAACCAUCAUAAAACUGUUCAACUCCUCAUUAUCAUUCCACCCCAACCCCUGGUCGGGCCAUCAAAAUAUUAAAGUGCAUUUGAAAUAA